GGUGCAGCAGUCAAAGGUAAUUUUGAACUCUGAAAAUGCAAUGAAUGUAUAGAAGAAAUACACUGAUUUUGAAAUGAUCCAGCUAAGUCAGGUAUCCAGCUACAUUUCUACAAAGGGAAUCACAGAACCGAAAAAGAAUAUAAUCAACCCAUCUUGGUAUUUGCUAGCAGCUCUAAACAAGUUUAUCAAUGUAGUAAUGACUACAAACAGGUUAUGACAAUUAUCUUAGAAACCCCAUUACAUGUGGUCUUUCCUUGUCCCCUAUUAAUGUUGGAUCAUAAUUUGAUUGUGGGAUAAAUAGCAACAGUUCAGAAAUGACUUAGAGCUGACCCUGACCACACUCGCACCAUCAUACUACACACUAGGUGUGCAAAGAGCAAGAUGAGUGUUGCCAUAUGUAAGGGCACAUGGAAUUAAUUUGAUCAUCUAGUAAGAGUGAGGCUCUUGUCUAUUUCCCAUUAUAAGCAUAGACUAGCAAGAGGCUGGCUACUCGUGGGUACACAUCUUAGACACUCCUAAAGUUCUUGCUUCCUAAAGUUGACUGCUCUUCAUGGGGAAUCAGACUUUGCAAACUUGGCCUUGAUAAUACCAUGUGUCAAAUAACCAGAGAGUUGGUCUAAACCAGAAAUUAAUAUUUAUCAGCACCACACUGAGUUUGCCAUUAAACUGUAGACAGGUCCAACAGCAACACCCUCGGCAUAUCUGCUUCAGUCAUGUUCAGGCUUCACCUCACACAGCCUCACCCAUGGGCACCACAGCACAGGGUCCAGGAAGGAGGAUACACGUGCUCCCAGUGCAGGGAGUUUGUGCACAUGAGGCGCAGGCCCUGCUGUCUCCUCCCAGACUCCCAGAACCAGCCAAAGCCGGAGCACUUCCUCCCUCCAAAUACACUGGGGUCACUCCAGAGGGAACACGGAGGAAAACCCUAAUGACAAGAGAGGGUGAUGCACAUCAAGAACACAGUACACAGAUGAGAAGACAGAGACCCUGUCCCCUGCUAUCACUGCUCCGUCGGCAGUGCGCAGGAGAGAGCCUGGCACACACAGCAGCUCAGUAAGGACUGGAGCAUGUGAACGACCGCAUUAUAACCAUCAUAGUUGCCUACAGGCAUUUUCUGAACAAUCUCCUAUUAAGAGAAGCCUUGGGCUGUGGAGUGAGACCAGUGGAAGCACGGUGUGCCUUUGAAACUAGCAAGGUGAUGCAAAACUUUCCCCAGUCUGGCACAAAACAUGACAACUUCAGGGGUGAGGAGGGUAUAGCUCAGUGGUAGAGUGAAUGCUUACCAUGCACGAGGUCCUGGGUUCACUCCCCAGAAUCUCCAUCAAUAAAUACAUAAAUAAACACAAUUACCACCUUGCUCACCAGGGGGAAAAAUUACUACUUCAUGAAAUUUAAUAGGCCCAUUUCUGUGAUUUAAGGCUUGUGCACCAGAAAUUAGACAGAAAUUGACUUAUUGUCUCCGAGUAUACUUUAAUUUAAAAAAAAAUGUAUUCAUCAGCCCUCUAAAGUGACACAUUUUCCAGGCCCCCACUUAGGUAGCUUACAUUUGUGUACCUCUAGCCCUCACACUCAGAGGUCUGAAGUUCCAAUAUAUCUAAAUUUUAAGUGACACACUUGGGAGGAUAUGUUCCAUUUGAGGAGCUAUAAGGGGUAACAUGUAGGUACCCACUGGGGAUUUUGGUAUGUUUUUAGCACCUUCUGUUUAAAAGGCUGCAAACUGAACUUUUAUGCAGUUUCAAAAAGAAGACUGAAGCUACUAUGAGUAGUUUUUCCCCAUGAAGCAGGCAAACCUCACCUCAGAAAGCCCAGUUCUCUUGUAAUAUGUGUGCAAGAGUGUGAGGGGUGUGCGUUCUAUUUCAGAACGCUCUUCCUUGAAUUAAGAGCAAGCACUGUCUGAAGUAAAUGAGGAACAUGGGUGUGCACGUUGCUUCUCAGACACUCACAGGAUUCGGGGUGGGUGGUCACCAGACCCUGUCAGCUGGGACUAGUGCUGACAUGGACAUAGAGAGCAAGGACCAGCUGGUGGGGGGGCUUUCUCAUCACUCUCACUGCCGGCCAGACUCUGCUGUGAUGCUUCUGAUUUUAGAUGGAGAGAGUCCAAGCCCCUCCUUCUGGGUGUGGGAGUCUGCAGUCACAGCCAGCUCUGCCCAGGUCACACACUGGCUGUUGUGAAGGAAGUGAGGCCUGAACGGAAUUUUUCAACUUAAUGUUUUCUGUUAUUUCUCCAAUAUGUAUUUAUCAUAAUAAUAUAUAUCUUUUUUAUUUAAUCUACGGAAGGAUUAUCUUCAGAAUAUAGAAGGAGGUAUUUUUACAGCCAGUUGCCGUGACAAAUGGCUUAGCGUCCUUGAUGAAGGGAAUGCGGAGGGAAAAAUAACUGCAACCCAGAGGUAAUGACGGUCACACCCCGAAAAUACAACCAACAUCCUCUUAGGAAAAUACCAGCUUAUACUUUACAGCUUUGUCUACUAAAGUAAUGACCAGUGUCAAAGGGCUGCAUCUGCUACCCACAGAAGCCACUUGAGAAACAGAUGCAGGCACUCCUGCUGUUACUGAAUUCUUGUUUUUAUCCUAAUCUUAUUAAUAUGGACUCCAUGACCAGUUAACACCUACUGAAGACAUGGAACUGCCGCAGAUGAAAUCCACUGGUCAAAACAGAGAUGCUAGAGAACCAAUCUCUCGCUGUUACGAUCUUAAUUUUUCAAACACUUAAUCAACCACAGGAAGUUAGUAUCUCAUCCAGAAACUGAAAUCAAUGAAACAUUUUUGUGUGCAUUCAUGCUUAGAACUCUGCGAGAGAGGACUGGGGGCAUGGUUUACCAUCACGUACUCUGUUCUCUGUUUCUAUAUUUCCACUUCCUAAGCAAAAUGACAUGCUUUGUUUACAAGUGCAUUUUUCUGCCUGUAGGCUUUUGGACCAGCUGCCAAGAGCCAAUGGUGACCUCCUGAAGCACCUUUUUGGAGUGCUCCACGACACUAAGCAACACUCCACAUUCAAUCAGAUGAUGGCGGAUAACUUAGCAUGCUGUAUAGCCCCAAGCCUUCUUGGUCCACCUAAUGCCACCGGCUCACAAUUACAAGAGGACUUCACAAAGAAGAUAUCGCUGGUACAGUUUCUCCUCGAAAACUGCCUCCAGCUAUGGGGAGAAGACAUCCCUUCCCUCCGGGGACAGCACACAGUCAUUCCUGACAAAGUGACAACAGGAGAACCCCGCGAAUCAAUGAGAAUGACAGUGGCAGUCAUUCUCAAAAAUCCACAAGGACAGUACGAGGCCAAGUGCCCAUCUGCCACGGGUCUGUGCACAUGCCUGUCCACGAUUUUGGAAGUCCCUGAAGAGCAGAAAUGGCCCUAAUCACAUUUCACCCUUCCUCUCUUCUAUCUUUAUUCCGCACAUAUUGUUUCACUUUUCUUCCUCCUCUACUCUGCAAGUUUCCCAAGAUUUAUUAAAAAUGCAUUAGAGAACCACUUUAUUUGCUUAUGGCCCAUGUUAACCCCUUGGUGGAGGCGCAUCGGGGCAGUCUGCGGUCUCAACUAAGGUCACUUCUGCACCUGCAGCCAGCGGGCGGCGCAGCUGGGGCUGACUCACAUGUCUGUUGCUUGGCGCUGGCUCUAGGUGGAUCCCCAUCUCUUCAGCAAGUGAGCCCGGCUUUCUUCAUAAGGUGGAGGAAGACUUCCCAAC